rnacentral:lncRNA from 1 species
ACUAGAGUCCAAUAUUAAGUGCUGACAUUCUCGCAUUGCAAAUCUUUGGCUUGUCCCGUCAUGAAACGUGCACUUGUGGUGCGUUUAAUAAAGAAAGUUGAGUAGUACCAGUCAAGAUUAAAGAACGAACAAAAAUGCUAAAAUCUUAUUCCUACAUCAUGUGUGGUAGUGCUUACCAAACAUGCACUAAAAGGAAAUAAUGGAAUAAUAUGUAGCAUUAAAAUGACCCAAAAAAAAUAAAUAAAUCCCGUUACAAAUGUAAGGAUCCAGUCUUUCUAGUUAGAAAGACUUUCCAGUCUUUCCGCUUGCUUUUGCAUCAGCCAUAAAUGAUCAAUCGACAUUCAUAAAAACACGACAGGUACGAUCCACAGGUCGUAUGGUGACAUGACUACCGCCAACGUAUCAGAGGACGAACAAUUUUGCUGCCACGUUAACUGCCAGAACCAGCGAAGGACAUUUAUUCGAAUGGACCAAGAAAUACCAGUCCAGAUUAUGUUGCUGGUUCUUCCGAGCCAGCAAUUCCAAGAAAUUGAGAAAAGCUCUGCCUACCAAAGUAUCGGUAAAUUUCCAUCCUUUAGAAUCAAGAACCACGGAACAAUAAAAAUUAACUAUCAGAAAUUUUCCGAAUACGUUCAAUAACUACAGGAAGGUCCUUUUCCCUCAAUGUGCUAAAGCAUAACCUGAACCACCCAGGUUCAACACAAUGACAGGAUGAUCCAGGAGUCGCAUUCACCUUGCCCACGUUCAACAAUUUUUCCCACAACUCAAGCUCUCCUUUUUCACUGUAUGAACGGAUUAAACUGUUGGAUGAAUUUUGUGAAUAGUGACGCUGAAAUAAGUAUAAUGAUGGUGACAAAGCCGAGGCAAGAGUUGGACUCUUUGUCCUUAAGUCGAAUUUGCCCCGCAACGGUGCCUACGGAUUUCGGCAAUCGACUCCCAAGAUACAACGGCUACACUUGUGUUUGUAGCACUCCAAAACACAAGUACAACGAACCAAUUUAGGCUUAUGUACUCCAAGGAUGAAAUGAAAGAAAAUCAAAAUAAGCGAAAUGAUUUUGAUUUUGGAUAGAAGAGAGGAUGAAAUCGUUUUGCAUAUCAAACUGUGAGGAAUAGGACACCCAAAGGGUCCUAUUUAUAGACCAUGAAGGGGUGUGGACGAAAUGGUUGAGACCAAACCAUGCACCAUUUCCAAACAAUGCAUAUUUAUGAAAAGGUGUCUAUUCACUAAUGGUUGAGGUCUUUUUCGUAAUUUCUCAUUCAUCCGAUAUUGGUUUUCGAAAUGCCAAAUAUACCCUUCAAUACAUGCAGAGAAAUCAAAAUUCUCUUUCGGGGGCGUUGCCCCCGACCCCCCACGAGGGGCGCUGCCCCCUCGAAAUUUAGCGCCACCGGAUUUCUCCCCUUUUUCUACCUUUUUUUUUUCCACGCCAGCUGUUUUCAAAAUUCUGUAGGACUUCUGUAAUAACAUAUCUGGACACCCAGCAUUAUUGCAUUCAAAUAAAAUGAAUUAAAAUCCCGUUUUGGUACCCAUUUUUUUCAAAAUGUAUUUUUCUCUCUUUUGUUUUCAACCACACAUUCUUUAUUAAAAUAAUAUUACAUGUAAAUUAAAAAAAUUCCAUAUUUUUCAACCAUAAAUUUUCAUCAAUUUACUAUUCAAAAAUACAUUUUUAUAUAAAAAUGUCUCCCAAACACCCUAAAUGUUAAAAGGGUGCAUGGGCAAUUUUGUAAAAUUUGGUCAAUACUUGCGGCUCAAAUUUUGCAUGCCCUAUUGGUUAUUUUUUUUAUUUUAAUUUUCAAAAAUAGAAAAAAUUAAAAAUUGUCUUUUCCUAGCUUAUAAUCAAUGUAAUCAGUCGAUGCUAAUCAUAACAUUUCACCAUUAAAUGACUUACUAUAAUCAAACUUUUGCAACAUAAAACUUAACAAAAAAUUGGAAAUUGUCAAAAUUAAUUUUUGAUUCUAGUGUUUUUUGACUAAGCAAUUCUUUUACUCAUUGGAUGUUAAUCACGCCUAUUAUUAUAAGUUUUUGUAUAAUUAAAUACGAAAAUAAAAUUGAUUUAAUAUCUCAUAAAAUAAAUACGUUACAAUAAGCAGUAUCAUUUUCUACAUUAAUUAUCGCCACGCUGACCACCGAAUUAGUUUGUUGAGUUAAUAGGAAGCUUUCAAUGCCUACCUACCAAAGGCACAUUGAUGGUGAAGAUUCACACCAAUGGCUUCUUCUCUUGUUCUGUUCGUUACUGAAUUUAUUAAUAUAAUUUCCCAUUUAUUACAUUUACCAGUGUGUGUCUGUGUGAUACGGAAAUACACUCAGUUCAACGACGUGGAUGGAUCUACUGGCUGAUACACACUGUAAUGAGCAUAAAAAAUUGCAGCUAUUAAAUUUGUACCACCUGCUUCUCUUUCCAGCCCAGCCAGGCAAUUUUUCAUUCUACACCUAAUUCUUGACCUCGUCAUCUCAACUAGCCCAUAAACACUAAUUGUGCAGAAGUCACACUUCAUUGUUAAGCAAAGAAAGAUCCCAAGAAAAUAGAAUAAAUUCAGUGUCUUUUUACUCAUGCCCAUAAUAAUGUGCUUUAAUCCCUUCCUAUUUUCUCCAUGAUUCAGCAUUAAAAAUUUACUCUAACAUAUAUACAUUGUAAUUAAAUGAAAUGACUGCUCUUGAAUCUCCAUGUUUUCAUGUUUCCAUCGGCCCUUCCCUGCAUCAGUGUACAUUUAGAAGGAGAGAUCAAGGGGUUGCAGACUGGAUCCAGUGAGUAUAAUGCCGGGGUUUUGUCGGAAGGAACAUGAAAAGAUUAGGUACAAGUUUUCGUCAUCUUGUGUUCUUCUAUGCCUUUUGUUUUCUUGAAUUUGUGAUAAUAUUAGUCUCACCAAUCACUGAAAAGGAAAUCUUGCUUCAAUUCAAGGGUAACAUUUCAAGUGACCCGUUUUUGAGUUUGAGUUCUUGGGAUCAAAACAAUAGCCCCUGCAGAGAUUAUAGAGGUGUGUUUUGUAAUUCAGGUGGAAAUGUGGUAAAAAUUGUGCUAUGGAAUACUAGUCUUGGUGGGGUUUUGUCUCCUGCUUUAUCUGGAUUACAAUCUUUGAGAAUUAUUAAUUUGUUUGGGAAUAAAUUUCAAGGAAAUAUUCCUUUGGAGUAUGGAGAGAUUGGUACAUUGUGGAAGAUUAAUUUAAGCUCCAACGCUUUAUCUGGGGUAAUCCCAGAUUUUCUUGGAGAUUUGCCAAAUAUAAGGUUUCUUGAUUUAUCAAGAAAUGGGUAUACUGGGGAGAUUCCUUCAGCUUUGUUCAAGAAUUGUUACAAGACAAGAUUUGUUUCUUUAGCACAUAACAAUCUUUCGGGUGCCAUCCCUGUGUCGAUUGGUAAUUGUAGGAAUCUUGAGGGAAUAGAUUUGUCUUUUAAUAGUCUUAAUGGAGGAUUACCUGCAGAAAUCUGUGGCAUUCCAGGGCUAGUGUACUUAUCAGUGAGAAGUAAUGUGCUAUCAGGAAAUGUUCAAGAUAAUGUUUCCGAGUGUGGAAGCUUGGAGUUUUUGGAUCUUGGUGGCAAUAUGUUUACCGGAGGCACUCCAUUUGGGAUUCUUGGAUUUGUAAAUCUUACCUAUUUUAAUGUUUCGUGGAAUGGGUUUCAGGGUGAAAUUCAGGAGAUUGAAACUUGUAGUGGGAGACUGGAAUUUUUUGAUGUUUCAGGGAAUGAUUUGUCUGGUAAAAUUCCUUCAAGCAUCACAAAAUGCAGUGGCCUAAAGUAUUUAGAUUUGGGAUUUAACCGGCUUCAUGGGAGUAUACCAGUCGGAAUUGCUGAUAUGACGAGGCUAUUGGUCAUUCGCUUAGCAAAUAACUCAAUAGACGGGAUAAUCCCAGCACAGUUUGGGAGUAUUAAAUGGCUAGAAGUUCUCGAUUUGCGUAAUCUCAAACUCACGGGUGAAAUCCCAGACGAGAUAAGCAAUUGCCGGUUUCUUCUUGAGAUGUGAGUUGAAUAACCAUUACCAGCCUUUAUGUGCUUGCAUCAACAUUUAUUAGGAUUCAACUGACAAAACUUUGUAAAUUUUGCAUGCAGGCAUGUUUCUGGAAAUUCUUUGGAGGGAGGCGUUCCACAAAAUCUUGACAACAUGACGUACCUCAUAACUCUUGACCUACAUCAUAACAGGCUUAAUGGAAGCAUACCAUUGACUAUCGGAAAUUUGUCUAACGUACAUUCUUUGGAUUUAUCAGAAAAUUUUCUAUCAGAUUCAAUUCCUUCUACGCUCAAGAAUUUGAAAAACCUCACUCAUUUCAACGUGUCUUACAACAAUCUUUCUGGUACUAUCCCUUCAAUUCCAGGCAUUCAACAGUUUGGCUUCUCAGCUUUUUUUCACAACCAAGGUCUCUGUGGUCCACCAUUAGAUGACCCAUGCUCUGCUACUUCUGGUGCACAUAAACCCAAGUUGAGUGCUUCUGCAAUCAUCGCAAUAGUAGCUGCUGCAUUAAUUGUUACAGGUGUUUUUGUGAUUACCAUUAUUAACAUAAAGGCUCGUGGGAGGGGACGAAAAGAAGGGACUCUGGUUGUAGAUUCUACUCCAUUAGCUUCAACAGAUUCAAAUGUUAUUAUUGGGAAAUUAGUCCUCUUCAGCAAAAAUAUGCCUUCAAGGUAUGAGGAUUGGGAGGCUGGCACUAAAGCCUUGCUUGAUAAAGAAUGUUUAAUUGGUGGGGGCUCUAUUGGAAGAGUGUACAAAACUACCUUCGAAGGAGGAAUUUCGAUGGCAGUGAAGAAGCUCAAGACCUUAGGGAUGAUCCAAAUCCAAGAAGAAUUUGAGCAUAAAAUUGGUCGUUUGGGAUACCUUCAGCAUCCGAAUCUUGUCGCUUUUCAAGGUUACUAUUGGUCAUGUAGCAUGCAGUUAAUUUUGUCUGAAUUUGUUUCAAAUGGAAAUCUGCACGAUAAUUUACAUGGAGUGAAUUAUCAUGGGAUGAGCUUUCGUUUUAGUAAUCCGGAGUUGAAUUGGCCGAGAAGGUUUCAAAUAGCAUCAAGGACAGCGAGAGCCUUAGCCUACCUUCACCAUGACUGCAGACCUCCAGUUCUUCAUCUCAAUGUCAAGCCCAGUAAUAUACUGCUGGAUGAAAACUACAAUGCCAAACUGUCUGAUUAUGGCUUGGGAAAGUUUCUUCCUCUGCAGAAUAAUUAUGGUUCAAGAAAUAUUCACAAUGCAGUUGGGUACAUUGCACCCGAGUUAUCUCAAAGUUCAAAACUCGUUGAUAAAUGUGAUGUUUAUAGCUUUGGGGCGAUUCUUUUGGAGUUGGUUACGGGGAGAAAACCAGUGGAGAGUCCAGCAAUGAGUGAGAGGGUGAUUUUGCGUGAAUAUGUCCGGGAUUUGAUGGAAAUGGGUUCUGCUUCGAACUGUUUUGACCUUAGUUUGCGAGGAUUUGCAGAAAAUGAGCUGAUUCAGGUUCUGAAGUUGGGUUUGAUUUGUACUUGUGAAACUCCUUCGCGGAGGCCAAGCAUGGCUGAGGUUGUUCAGGUUCUCGAGUCCAUAAGAAAUGGUGUGGAAUCAUAACUAGCAUAGGAGAAAUUUGUUUAUUUGGUAAAGAAAUACACAAUUCUUUUGCAAUUCAUUCUGAGUUGCCAUUAUCAGCUGUAGUCCUGCAAUAAAAUCGUUCUAGUUUUUGGAACUCGAAUAAGAAAAAAAUAAGGUGAAAAUUGUAUUCAUACUAUCCACUAGAGUCCAAUAUUAAGUGCUGACAUUCUCGCAUUGCAAAUCUUUGGCUUGUCCCGUCAUGAAACGUGCACUUGUGGUGCGUUUAAUAAAGAAAGUUGAGUAGUACCAGUCAAGAUUAAAGAACGAACAAAAAUGCUAAAAUCUUAUUCCUACAUCAUGUGUGGUAGUGCUUACCAAACAUGCACUAAAAGGAAAUAAUGGAAUAAUAUGUAGCAUUAAAAUGACCCAAAAAAAAUAAAUAAAUCCCGUUACAAAUGUAAGGAUCCAGUCUUUCUAGUUAGAAAGACUUUCCAGUCUUUCCGCUUGCUUUUGCAUCAGCCAUAAAUGAUCAAUCGACAUUCAUAAAAACACGACAGGUACGAUCCACAGGUCGUAUGGUGACAUGACUACCGCCAACGUAUCAGAGGACGAACAAUUUUGCUGCCACGUUAACUGCCAGAACCAGCGAAGGACAUUUAUUCGAAUGGACCAAGAAAUACCAGUCCAGAUUAUGUUGCUGGUUCUUCCGAGCC